UCAGAAGGGAUCUUCCCUAUAGGGGCAGACACCUAGGAAGUCGAUGCAACAAAGCAAAUAAACACCAGAAGAGAAGAAAAGCUCCGAGAGAGUGCUCGGUUUAUGAGACGAGACCACCUGUGAGGCGGCCCUGCUCUGAGGCAGUGGGACACCUGGCGCACGACGGGCAGGUGAGCGACAGCUGUUUUCCUCAGAGUGCGACAGGCGGGUGAACGUUCGAAGCGGAAGCCAGAAAAAAGCUGUCCGGUCUAAGCUGGGGCAGUUGGUGGUCCUCGGGACUAAGGGUGGCCUCCUUCAUCUGAAGGAUCAGCUGGUGAAGAAAGAAGAAUCAGGAGGUGGAACACCAAGGCAAGAGCGAGCAAGAAGAGGAAGGAAGGAAGGAGACUACUACGGAUGGGCAAAGAGAGAGGCUCCCUGGGCAAAAGCAUGUCACAUAAGAGUAGAGCUUUGCCGGCCCCUUGGGUGACCAGCUCUGUUUGCCCAGGCUGCCCGACUCUGCACCCUGCUGCAGCACCAGCCGGAUCUCCGCAGUGCAUCAAUGUGGAUCAGCUGGUGAAGAAAGAAGAAUCAGGAGGUGGAACACCAAGGCAAGAGCGAGCAAGAAGAGGAAGGAAGGAAGGAGACUACUACGGAUGGGCAAAGAGAGAGGCUCCCUGGGCAAAAGCAUGUCACAUAAGAGUAGAGCUUUGCCGGCCCCUUGGGUGACCAGCUCUGUUUGCCCAGGCUGCCCGACUCUGCACCCUGCUGCAGCACCAGCCGGAUCUCCGCAGUGCAUCAAUGUGGAUCAGCUGGUGAAGAAAGAAGAAUCAGGAGGUGGAACACCAAGGCAAGAGCGAGCAAGAAGAGGAAGGAAGGAAGGAGACUACUACGGAUGGGCAAAGAGAGAGGCUCCCUGGGCAAAAGCAUGUCACAUAAGAGUAGAGCUUUGCCGGCCCCUUGGGUGACCAGGUGGGCUUUGUGCUGGGCGACCUCCCUGCAACCAGGGCUCGGGUCUUUUGCUGUAGUUGGCCUUUUGCCUUGUUGCUCCUUUGGCUGCCC